rnacentral:rRNA from 1 species
GGUUAAGCGACUAAGCGUACACGGUGGAUGCCCUGGCAGUCAGAGGCGAUGAAGGGCGUGCUAAUCUGCGAUAAGCGCCGGUAAGGUGAUAUGAACCGUUAUAACCGGCGAUACCCGAAUGGGGAAACCCAGUGUGACUCGUCACACUAUCAUUAACUGAAUCCAUAGGUUAAUGAGGCGAACCGGGGGAACUGAAACAUCUAAGUACCCCGAGGAAAAGAAAUCAACCGAGAUUCCCCCAGUAGCGGCGAGCGAACGGGGAGGAGCCCAGAGCCUGAAUCAGCAUGUGUGUUAGUGGAAGCGUCUGGAAAGGCGCGCGAUACAGGGUGACAGCCCCGUACACAAAAGCGCAUGUGCUGUGAGCUCGAUGAGUAGGGCGGGACACGUACGU